CUAAGAAUAUUCCGCAAUGGACGAAAGUCUGACGGAGCGACGCCGCGUGGAUGAAGAAGGCCGAAAGGUUGUAAAAUUCUUUUGUCGGGGAAGAAUAACCAUGGGAGGGAAUGCCCGUGGGAUGACAUGAACCGGCGAAUAAGCCCCGGCUAACUACGUGCCAGCAGCCGCGGUAACACGUAGGGGGCGAGCGGUGUUCGGAAUUACUGGGCGUAAAGGGCAUGUAGGCGGUUUUGUAGGACUGGCGUGAAAGGCUGCAGCUUAACUGUAGCAUGGCGCUGGUAACUACAAGACUUGAGUCACGGAGAGGGAGCUAGAAUUCCAGGGGUAGGGGUGAAAUCUGUAGAUAUCUGGAAGAAUACCAGUGGCGAAGGCGAGCUUCUGGCCGAUGACUGACGCUGAGGUGCGAAAGCGUGGGUAGCAAACAGG
rnacentral:rRNA from 1 species